UACGGAGGGUGCAAGCGUUGUUCGGAAUUAUUGGGCGUAAAGCGCGCGCAGGCGGUCGAACAAGUCUAUGGGUCAAAGGCCGGGGCUCAACCCCGCGUACGCCCAGGAUACUGUUCGACUGGAGACACGUAGAGGCAAGCGGAAUUUCGGGUGUAGCGGUGGAAUGCGUAGAUAUCCGAAAGAACACCGGAGGCGAAGGCGGCUUGCUGGGCGUGAUCUGACGCUGAGGCGCGAAAGCGUGGGGAGCGAACAGG
rnacentral:rRNA from 1 species